AUUGAACGCUGGCGGCAGGCCUAACACAUGCAAGUCGAACGGUAACAGGAAGAAGCUUGCUUCUUUGCUGACGAGUGGCGGACGGGUGAGUAAUGUCUGGGAAACUUCCUGAUGGAGGGGGAUAACUACUGGAAACGGUAGCUAAUACCGCAUAACGUCGCAAGACCAAAGAGGGGGACCUUCGGGCCUCUUGCCAUCGGAUGUGCCCAGAUGGGAUUAGCUAGUAGGUGGGGUAACGGCUCACCUAGGCGACGAUCCCUAGCUGGUCUGAGAGGAUGACCAGCCACACUGGAACUUAGACACGGUCCAGACUCCUACGGGAGGCAGCAGUGGGGAAUAUUGCACAAUGGGCGCAAGCCUGAUGCAGCCAUGCCGCGUGUAUGAAGAAGGCCUUCGGGUUGUAAAGUACUUUCAGCGGGGAGGAAGGGAGUAAAGUUAAUACCUUGGCUCAUUGACGUUACCCGCAGAAGAAGCACCGGCUAACUCCGUG
rnacentral:rRNA from 1 species